UACAUCUACAGCAAGUCAACCAGCAGUGCUUAAAACAAGAGAAUGUGAAGCAGAAGUGACACUGUUUAAAUAGAUCAGGCUCUCCAGGACAAGGCGGAAAGAAAAACAUGCCUCUUUUGUCAAAGCCAGACAAAGCCCCACAGACCUUAAAGUGGGCAAUUCAAAAUUCUGAAGACUGGACUUCUCCUUUCCAGCCUUACUUCUCUGAUCUCCAGUCAUCCGAGAGGCUUCAGCCAGCCUGUGAGCCGUCAAAGUAGCCCUGGAAUCAAACGCCACUUCAUGCUCAGCUAUGAUCAAAGGAACACAGAGAAGAAACAUGGAGCACACUGAUCAGAAUAAAGCAAAGUGAUCAGGAUUUGAAGAUGUGGGGGGAAGUUUGUUCUCGCCAGAAACUUUUGGACAAAGGGAAUUCUUGGAUAGAGGUUCAAGAUGUUUGUCAAAACAUCAGUGUAGAGACUUCCCAUUUGCACCCGGUUCCAUGGAGGGUAAAAAAAAAAAAAAAAAAAGAGGAAACAGAUAAAGAUUUAUAUUGGAUCGAGUCUUGCUGAUCUUGCUGGCCAACUGUAAUAGCAAGAGAUCAACCAACCGCUGACUUCAC